rnacentral:lncRNA from 1 species
GAGACUUCUAAUGAGGCUGAUUCAUAUCAUGAUGUAUUUUACAAGCUAUUCUCAGCAGAUUCGCUGCAAUAUGUCAUUCUUUAUGUACCAUGAGAGAUACAUGAGCACACAAGCUUGAGAAGGGUGGGGAAGUCUCUCUGAGAAACAGACGAGUUUUGCACCUCGUGCUGAGGAAGGAAAGAAUUGGAAGUUCACAUCAGCUAUUGCUUCCAAGUCCUCCAGACCUCAGGUCAGCUGCGAGCUCCACUCCAAUAAACGUGAACAUUACAAGAGCUGUGUCUUAAAACUUAUUUCCAAGGAAGUGUCUCAUUUUAUUGCAGCACAAAAAAAAGAGACUCCAAGGUAAUAUUUACUUUGCUUUACAUUUCAUAAAAAAAAGAAGACUGUAAUUUCAUGGAGGCUCUAACAGGAAUUCCUCUUUCCAUCCAAGCGGAAGAAAUUGUGUUCAGGACCUUUCCCCGAGGGCUCGAGGAAAGCACUUGAACAUGGAAACUCCCACUCCACUUUAUUUGUGAGUUAGCCCUGCAGGAGGAUGAGGCAGGAGUUGAGACGCUAUAAGUGGACUAAGUGGCCAAAGCCUGUGACAUUAAGGAGUAGGAAAGGAUGCUGAGAGGAUAAUCUCAGAGAUGCAGCUCUCCAGCUGAUGAAAAUCAGAAGAGCCAGAUAAUCACUGAGAGGGAUUCCCACCUAGAAAGAAGGCAAUUGCAGGGGCUUUAAGAAAAAGGGUGCAGUAGUUGCUCCAGUUCUGCCUGUCAUUCCUGCACCACUGCCUUUCCAAGCACUGUCUCUUAAGAUGCUGGAGGAGGGGCUGAGGCCCUUUUAAUGAAGUGAAAGGAUGAGCGGGAGGCUGACCAGAACAGCAGUGGAAAGAGCAAAGACACAUGCUGAGAGCCCUGUGCAUGGGGAAACCAGAGCCGCAGCUUGUUCCAGACCCCGGAGCCUCUGAAGCACAGAUGUCUCCAGGAAAUCUUCAUGCUUCACCCCAACAGAGCUCUGGCCAGGAAAAGAAUCUCCUUGGUCUAUUUUAAGUUGUAAAAGGAAAGAAUAUGAGACUCUUCCUAAAUUCUUGAAACCGGUAUCUGGGCCUCUGGGAAUGAAGAAAGACUCUGACUGUGACUGCAUUUAGGGUUCUUUUAUCAGGAUUAGUUCUGUCCCAGAAUUCAGAUGCAUGACUGAGGGGAUCCAUGUGAAAGAAAGACAUCCUAAUGUUGCUGGUGUUGGAAGGCAUGGAGGAAGAGCAGACACAGACCUCUGCUUUGGGAUGUCAUGCAUGAACCAGAGCCAGCUCGAGCUGCACUCUUCCCCCUGCUCCUUGCAUACAGCACGGUGUGGAUUUCACUGUUACUGGGAGAGCUGCUGCUUGGAGGAAAGUAUGGUUUACUCCUCAGUGUCCAAAGACAUCCUACCAAAAGGGUCACCACUGUUUUGUGUAGACCUCAGAAGGAGAACACGGACUAAUUUGUUUCCCCAAAAUAAGGUUUUCUUUUAGAAACAAGAGAGCUAUUUUGUUUCUUGUGCAGUCUGAGGUAUAACAUGGAGUUCCAGUUUCCCUUAAGAGCUGAACUCCAUCCUCCUCCUACUAGGAUGGUUUUAUUUUAGUUACCAAAUAUUUGAGGUUAAAGUGAAUAGUUCAUCUUUAAUGGGAUUAUCUCUUUCAAUGUUUGCUUUCAUUACAGUUCCAAUUGCUCUGAGCAUGAGAACCUAACCUCACCAAAAGCAUAUUUUUGUAAUUUGAUACAAACUAAAUUUAACCUUUGACUCUCAUCUAUAGAGACGUUAGCUUUUUCCACUGAAAAGCAGAACGUUAGAUUAAAGAUCUGGCAGUUUCAAUUUCCAGGUUGCUAACCUUCCUGUGAUUGGGUCCUGAAAUGUGGAAAGAUGUGUAUUUAAUAAAUUUAUUUAAUAUUAAUUGUAACAGUCAAGAUGGUUUUAUACCUACUGCUUAGAAUAGCUGGAUGGAGGUUCUCUAUGAACUUUUAAAGGGAGAACUGCCUUGGCUGAUGCUGCACAAUACACUGGAUCUCUUUAAACAGAGAUAUUCAAAAUAAAACCUCUCCUUUGAGUUACUCUUCCAGUUCAUCCCAGUGCUUUGGUUAAACAAAUAAUUUUUAUUUAAACACUUUGGAAUACUAAGCCUGUGCUUAGGGAAAAAAAAGGUUUAUGUUCACUUUGUGCUCUCUCUCUUGAGGGUUGGCUUUAAAUGUGAUACCGAAUGGGUAACAAAUUCUCUGUAUUAUUCUACAUUUUCUCCAGUUAAGCCAUCAGGGAAACUGGAGGGGAAGGGUUGCUUUCUAGAAAAACUAAAUUCUUGUUCCCUGCUGGAAGAAUCAAUCUAAAUACAUGGAUUUUUUUCACUUCUGCUUUGAUGAAAUUAAAUGUUGAAAUUUUCACCAAAAAAAGUUUUGCAUAUAUUUGUCAAAGAGGUUUUUUUACUUAUUUGUUACCUUGUUCUAUCAGUGGAUUCCUACAAAAGGUAAGGUCAUAAGCUCAUUGACUGUCAGAGCUCGGGUAAAAUCAAUGGGACUUCUUCCCUGCACUUCUGCCAUAAUGAAGCAACAGAGGAAUGGCUCAUUGUGUACAUCAGAACACCAAGGGGAAUAUGGGAGCAUUUAUCUGUUUACUUAGCAUAGGAAAAUUCAAUACAAAUUGUACAAAUCCUCCCGCUCCUUAUACCUCCUACGACUGUAUUUCUCAAUUUGUAGGAAAGCCUGUGCAUUCAUAUACUUACUCAGGCUUCAUUUGGAAGACUGAUUUACAUAUAAAAAAUUACACUCUGUUACAUCUGUUUGUUCUGCACGGGGAAAUAAGCAAAGAAUAAAGAAACCUGUCCUAUAUUUCAGCUCUGCAGUCGUCAGAGAAGGAUACUGCAACUGAAAUUCAAAUUGUAGCACACACUGCGCUAAUAAAUGGUCAGCUUAGAAGCAUUUCCUGUUUAUACACUGUGUUAAUAAGCAUCCAUCACCCAUGUCACAUAUACGGGAUACCAAAUUCAAAUGUCAAACAAAAUGUAAGAGGUCACACAUUUUCCUUUGCUAACUAAAAGUGUAAUUCAUAAAUAUUAUUGCUACCAAACUCUCCAUCUACAGCACUUGUUUAGAAAUAUGCACAUGUAAUAUAAAUUGUGAUUAAGUUAAAUGGGUAUAUUAUUUCCUGUUUUAAGGGCGAACAGCAGCAUGAAUUAUGUUUUACUCAAUAGGCAUUUCAAUAAAACCCUAUAGACUAACAAGCUGCUAUCACACGCUUCAGCUGCACAGUCUAACAUGAGAAGGGUCUUAUGAUCCACAACUGAUAUUUAAGCUGUUUCUCCAUCUAUCUGUUAUUUCUGCUGAUGCAAAGAAAAAACAUUUUUGUUAAUUCUAAACCUUCUUUUUUUUUUUUUUUGUUAUAAAAAAAAGAAAGGGCCUAUUUAAUUGUGC